CGUCACAGUUGCGUGUGAAACGUUCAGAGAGUUCGGGCGGAACUGAAGCCAACUGAUGCGCGUUCGGAAGUUUGGAUGAGAAUCAGUCAAGAUGAGCUUGCUGAAAUAUUUCAAAAGAAAAAAGGAUGAUGGACAUGGAGAGGAGAAGAAUCAAUCAGAGCUUCAGCAGCCUACCUUUUAGAUAGAGGAAAGAGUGGAGAAAGAUGAU